CAUUCACGGAGAGUUUGAUCCUGGCUCAGGACGAACGCUGGCGGCGUGCUUAACACAUGCAAGUCGAACGAUGAUCCGGUUUCGGCCGGUGAUUAGUGGCGAACGGGUGAGUAACACGUGGGUAAUCUGCCUCGCACUCUGGGAUAAGCCCGGGAAACUGGGUCUAAUACCGGAUAUACAUCGGUGGCCUCAUGGUCUGUCGGUGGAAAGCUUUUGCGGUGUGGGAUGAGCCCGCGGCCUAUCAGCUUGUUGGUGGGGUGAUGGCCUACCAAGGCGACGACGGGUAGCCGGCCUGAGAGGGUGACCGGCCACACUGGGACUGAGACACGGCCCAGACUCCUACGGGAGGCAGCAGUGGGGAAUAUUGCACAAUGGGCGGAAGCCUGAUGCAGCGACGCCGCGUGAGGGAUGACGGCCUUCGGGUUGUAAACC
rnacentral:rRNA from 3 species